rnacentral:piRNA from 1 species
GGAUAUGGAAAUGAGAGGACGGACAAGC